rnacentral:rRNA from 1 species
UACGAAGGGGGCGAGCGUUGUUCGGAUUUACUGGGCGUAAAGGGCGCGCAGGCGGCCGCAUUUGUCAGGCGUGAAAGCCCCGGGCUUAACCUGGGAACUGCGUUUGAUACUGGAAGGCUUGAAUCCGGGAGAGGGAUGCGGAAUUCCAGGUGUAGCGGUGAAAUGCGUAGAUAUCUGGAGGAACACCGGUGGCGAAGGCGGCAUCCUGGACCGGUAUUGACGCUGAGGCGCGAAAGCCAGGGGAGCAAACGGG